rnacentral:lncRNA from 1 species
UCCUUCGCAUGUUCGAUCUGGAACAUCAAUCACUGGUAAACCUGUCACCAUCUUCUUUUGCGCCAACAACUUCAAGCCUCUGAAGUGUAAGUGACCAAACCGAAGAUGCUGGGCCACACAGAUCCGUGUGUACUAGCUCCAAUGGUUGCUCUGCCCGUAUGGAUUUCCCUAUUGGAAACGUGUCUCUGUGCUGCGUCCCAAGUAGACAUCCUUUGCACGUUCGAUCCGGAACAUCAAUCACUGGUAAACCUGUCACCAUCUUUUUUUGCGCCAACAACUUCAAGCCUCUAAAGUGUAAGUGACCAAACCGAAGAUGCCAUAGCCAAUUGCUAUCCAUUGCCACAGCUUGAAAAUUCAUUACUCCCUUCGUAUUAAGAGUAAGAGCACCUCUAAAGUGUAAGUGACCAAACCGAAGAUGCCAUAGCCAAU